GCGAACCGGGGGAACUGAAACAUCUAAGUACCCCGAGGAAAAGAAAUCAACCGAGAUUCCCCCAGUAGCGGCGAGCGAACGGGGAGCAGCCCAGAGUCUGAAUCAGCAUGUGUGUCAGUGGAACGGUCUGGAAAGUCCGACGGUACAGGGUGAUAGUCCCGUACACGAAGAUGCAUAUGCUGUGAACUCGAUGAGUAGGGCGGGACACGUGACAUCCUGUCUGAAUACGGGGGGACCAUCCUCCAAGGCUAAAUACUCCUGACUGACCGAUAGUGAACCAGUACCGUGAGGGAAAGGCGAAAAGAACCCCGGCGAGGGGAGUGAAAAAGAACCUGAAACCGUGUACGUACAAGCAGUGGGAGCACCUUCGUGGUGUGACUGCGUACCUUUUGUAUAAUGGGUCAGCGACUUAUAUUCUGUAGCAAGGUUAACCGUAUAGGGGAGCCGCAGGGAAACCGAGUCUUAACUGGGCGUUAAGUUGCAGGGUAUAGACCCGAAACCCGGUGAUCUAGCCAUGGGCAGGUUGAAGGUUGGGUAACACUAACUGGAGGACCGAACCGACUAAUGUUGAAAAAUUAGCGGAUGACCUGUGGCUGGGGGUGAAAGGCCAAUCAAACCGGGAGAUAGCUGGUUCUCCCCGAAAGCUAUUUAGGUAGCGCCUCGUGAAUUCAUCUGUGGGGGUAGAGCACUGUUUCGGCUAGGGGGCCAUCCCGGCUUACCAACCCGAUGCAAACUACGAAUACCACAGAAUGUUAUCACGGGAGACACACGGCGGGUGCUAACGUCCGUCGUGAAGAGGGAAACAACCCAGACCGCCAGCUAAGGUCCCAAAGUCAUGGUUAAGUGGGAAACGAUGUGGGAAGGCCCAGACAGCCAGGAUGUUGGCUUAGAAGCAGCCAUCAUUUAAAGAAAGCGUAAUAGCUCACUGGUCGAGUCGGCCUGCGCGGAAGAUGUAACGGGGCUAAACCAUGCACCGAAGCUGCGGCAGCGACGCGAAUGCGUUGUUGGGUAGGGGAGCGUUCUGUAAGCCGUUGAAGGUGUGCUGUGAGGCAUGCUGGAGGUAUCAGAAGUGCGAAUGCUGACAUAAGUAACGAUAAAGCGGGUGAAAAGCCCGCUCGCCGGAAGACCAAGGGUUCCUGUCCAACGUUAAUCGGGGCAGGGUGAGUCGACCCCUAAGGCGAGGCCGAAAGGCGUAGUCGAUGGGAAACAGGUUAAUAUUCCUGUACUUGGUGUUACUGCGAAGGGGGGACGGAGAAGGCUAUGUCGGCCGGGCGACGGUUGUCCCGGUUUAAGCGUGUAGGCGGAGGUUCCAGGUAAAUCCGGUCCCUUUUAACGCUGAGGCGUGAUGACGAGGCACCACGGUGCUGAAGUGACAAAUGCCCUGCUUCCAGGAAAAGCCUCUAAGCAUCAGGUAACACGAAAUCGUACCCCAAACCGACACAGGUGGUCAGGUAGAGAAUACCAAGGCGCUUGAGAGAACUCGGGUGAAGGAACUAGGCAAAAUGGUGCCGUAACUUCGGGAGAAGGCACGCUGGCACGUNNNNNNNNNNNNNNNNNNNNNNNNNNNNNNNNNNNNNNNNNNNNNNNNNNNNNNNNNNNNNNNNNNNNNNNNNNNNNNNNNNNNNNNNNNNNNNNNCGUAGGUGAAGCGGUUUACCCGUGGAGCUGAAGCCAGUCGAAGAUACCAGCUGGCUGCAACUGUUUAUUAAAAACACAGCACUGUGCAAACACGAAAGUGGACGUAUACGGUGUGACGCCUGCCCGGUGCCGGAAGGUUAAUUGAUGGGGUCAGCCGUAAGGCGAAGCUCUUGAUCGAAGCCCCGGUAAACGGCGGCCGUAACUAUAACGGUCCUAAGGUAGCGAAAUUCCUUGUCGGGUAAGUUCCGACCUGCACGAAUGGCGUAAUGAUGGCCAGGCUGUCUCCACCCGAGACUCAGUGAAAUUGAAAUCGCUGUGAAGAUGCAGUGUACCCGCGGCAAGACGGAAAGACCCCGUGAACCUUUACUAUAGCUUGACACUGAACACUGGUCCUUGAUGUGUAGGAUAGGUGGGAGGCUUUGAAGCGUGGACGCCAGUCUGCGUGGAGCCGUCCUUGAAAUACCACCCUUUAAUGGCUGGUGUUCUAACGUGGACCCGUAAUCCGGGUUGCGGACAGUGUCUGGUGGGUAGUUUGACUGGGGCGGUCUCCUCCUAAAGCGUAACGGAGGAGCACGAAGGUUGGCUAAUCCUGGUCGGACAUCAGGAGGUUAGUGCAAUGGCAUAAGCCAGCUUGACUGCGAGCGUGACGGCGCGAGCAGGUGCGAAAGCAGGUCAUAGUGAUCCGGUGGUUCUGAAUGGAAGGGCCAUCGCUCAACGGAUAAAAGGUACUCCGGGGAUAACAGGCUGAUACCGCCCAAGAGUUCAUAUCGACGGCGGUGUUUGGCACCUCGAUGUCGGCUCAUCACAUCCUGGGGCUGAAGUAGGUCCCAAGGGUAUGGCUGUUCGCCAUUUAAAGUGGUACGCGAGCUGGGUUUAGAACGUCGUGAGACAGUUCGGUCCCUAUCUGCCGUGGGCGCUGGAGAACUGAGGGGGGCUGCUCCUAGUACGAGAGGACCGGAGUGGACGCAUCACUGGUGUUCGGGUUGUCAUGCCAAUGGCACUGCCCGGUAGCUACAUGCGGAAGAGAUAAGUGCUGAAAGCAUCUAAGCACGAAACUUGCCCCGAGAUGAGUUCUCCCUGAGACUUCAAGUCUCCUGAAGGACCGUUGAAGACGACAACGUUGAUAGGCCGGGUGUGUAAGCGCAGCGAUGCGUUGAGCUAACCGGUACUAAUGAGCCGUGAGGCUUAACCUU
rnacentral:rRNA from 1 species